GGGCACAUGGUGUAGUUGGUUAUCACGCCCGCUUAGCACUUCAGUGUAUGCGGGCGGUCCCCGGUUCAAUUCCGGGUGUGUCCA